UGUUGUGGUGGGGGAGGGGUUUAGUUUGGGCAUCAAGCAGAAUUAUCAGAGGCUUGGCUUUGAACGUGCUGAAGAGGAGUCGUCCAGACAAGAGGCAAGCCAAAAAAAUAACUGCCUAAAAAGCCUUUUUUCUCAGAAAACAGAUCAGACUCAUGGCAGAACGCAAAAAUGCAAAAGUACUGAACAUGAGCGGCUCUGUUCUACUCUGCGGGACCAGACAGCUUCUUCUACAUUUUGACAAUGAAACUAAAAUGAAAUAAGAACAAUGAAGCCCGGGGUGAUUCCAUCACUGGGAAACCAAAGCAAUCAGGACUUCACAGAGACAGCAGUGAUGCAUGAUAGCAAUAGGUGAGAUUUAUUUUAGGGAUGGGGCUUUUACUAUUUUCUCUAAACAAUUACAAGCAGAUGUGUCCUCAGGUACUCUUUUUUAUUUUAUAUUUUUUUGUGCUUAAAGCCCAUUUUACAGCUGCAGACCCCCUUAAAGGCAUCGCAGAUCAUUUUCUCCAGCGUAGGCUAGCCCACGUGACGACACUCCUGAUAAGAUAAAAGCUUGUUCUGAACUGUUACCGGGGCAAGGCUCUAGCCUUUAUGCUUCCCAACAGGCAAGACUGCGAACAGGGGAGGGGGAGUGUAUGUGCAACAAGUAAGCUGUACGUGCUUUGACCAGUUACUAUGGCAAUUAUUUUUGAAAGAAAAACAAUACUUCGGAUGUUCCUAUUAUAUUUCUUUUUAUGUUUAAGCAUCUGCUGGGAGAAUACUUGCUUACAUGCAGUGCUAAUGCAGUGCCACUGCAUCUGUUUUGGUUUCUCAAAAGGAGUUCAAAAAGGCACUGCAACACAAUGGGUUUUAACUGGACUGCUCUGCAUCAAGAGAAGAUCCACUUCAAGAUGUCCUGAAGAGCUCCACCAAGUACAAAGAGGAACAGACCUCUGUGCCCUUAGAAAGAGAAGGCUGCUGGGAGGAUCUGACGAGUGUCGUCCGGACAACAUGCACAACUGGAA